CUCUUUAUGCCACGUGAGGAUACAGCAAGGCCCCAAUCUGCAAGCCAGGAAGAGUCGUCACGAGAACCAGACCAUGCAGGAACUCUGAUCGUGGACAUUUCAACCUCCAGAACUGUGAUCCAAAAUGCAUAUGUAUCUUUGGAAGAAACUCUGAAGUAAAGGCCGGAAUAUUCUUUGUUUAAAACAUUAAAAACAAAACAGACCAAAGCAUCAAGCAAGAAGUUUCCUGGCAAUAAACUAAGCACAGCAUUAUUUUUUAAGGAACACAAAUUAAGUGUUCAACCUGUGGCAAAUUUGUACUUUCUCCCUGAAUUAUGUUGUUAUCAAAGAAAAAAAUUGGGAAGCAUGGCAAAAUAUCAUCAAAACUGAAACUAGAAUUAAACAAAACUAAAUUAAAAUGAAAUAAAAUGAUGUCCAUUCUUAAUUCAUCCUCA
rnacentral:lncRNA from 1 species